ensembl:lncRNA
CGGGAUCACAGGCGUUCGCCACCACGCCUGGCUACACUGCUUCUCAAGAUGCUGUUUAUUGUUCGCCCACAGCUCCAGCUUCCUCUCUGUGCGGUCUUUGCCGAUGGCAAGAACAGACAGGCUUCUCGGGGCCUUCAAGGCGUGGGCACAGUGCGCUGGUGCUGUUUGCGUCUGCGCAGUGCCUCCCUGCGGCCCGACCGGAAGCCGCUGGGGUCUUGGGCACUUCCUGUGCGCCGCGGUCUCCCAAGGAAGACGGUGUUGCGUUGGCUUUAUUUAUCAUGGAGGAAAACGGGGCUUAGGAAUCAGAGUAGGGUUCGAUGGCGCAGGAGUGAGAACUAGGAAGCCAGUGACUCGGUUUCCCCGACAAUCCCUGCGCACUGCUGCCAAGGGGUCCCGAAGAGACCCGGCCAGCCCUGUCCUCCCAUCGUCCGGGCGCACUGAGGAGGCCCAGACACCGGAAGGAAUUGCACGAAGAUGGAAAUAACAAUCCUCGUGAGCUGCCACGUGAGACCACUGUUACUGCACGUUCACGUCCUCCCUGAGAAACUUCGGAAGAGAAAUCUGGACGCUCCAGGAGCCGCUGUUUACCCAGAGCGGCUUCUACUUCUGCAGUGUCUGCUGACCCUGAGCUCCUUCUGUCUGGUUUGAGCAGGAUUCAGUUCAAGCAAAUGUAGGGAAGCUGUCGGCCUGGUUUCGGGUACGACAUGCUCGGGUCGCUUCUCCUUCAGGGAUUUACAGAUGAGAGUUUGCCUUAAGUCUCAGAGGAGAUUUUGGAUUUGGAAUUUUGAGCAGUGCUGGAACUGUUGAGACUUUGGGGAGAACAACAUGUUUUCAGUUGUAGCUGGGAUUUACAAUUUAGAGAAAGCCAAAUUUGAAGAAGUUGAUCUUUCCUGCUUACACUGGUUAGAUUUUGGAAAUCUGGAAAUGGAGCCAUUGGCAUUUCAAGAAAGUUCUGUCUGGAAAAAUAAAUUCUGUGACUUGUGUGCAACCCUUGAGAAGAUAGAGAACAUGGAAUGUGAGGGAGAACAAAGGACUGCAGGUGGUAGCUCUGAAAAUGAAAUCCUUAAAGUGUGGAAUUCCGUGCCGAAUAAUUGUAAGUCAAUGAAAGCACUUGGGAUUGCUUUUCUUACUUUGUUUGGAACAUCUCAUGUUUGUGAGCAGUUGUGUUCAGUUUUGAAUUCUAUCAAAUCUGAUACAGGAAACAGACUGACUGAUGAUGACCUGAGUCUGCAUGUGUUGCUCUCAAGCUAGCAAAGUGUGAGCCAAGGUUGACAGAUUAUCAGAUGCAUAGGACAGCAAGAUCACAUUAAUGGUGCAAAAGCAUGCCAAAUGCAAAC